UAGCGCCUAUUUCGUCCUCUGCCCAUGGCAGACUUAACGAAACCCGC
rfam:Pelobacter sp. SFB93, complete genome.